rnacentral:rRNA from 1 species
GACGGAGGGUGCAAACGUUGUUCGGAAUUACUGGGCGUAAAGCGCGUGUAGGCGGCCCGGAAAGUCGGAUGUGAAAGCCCUGGGCUUAACCUAGGAAGUGCAUUCGAAACUGCUGGGCUUGAGUUCUGGAGAGGAAGGCGGAAUUCUCGGUGUAGAGGUGAAAUUCGUAGAUAUCGAGAGGAACACCGGUGGCGAAGGCGGCCUUCUGGACAGUGACUGACGCUGAGACGCGAAAGCGUGGGGAGCAAACAGG